GAUGAACGCUAGCGACAGGCUUAACACAUGCAAGUCGAGGGGCAGCAUGAACUUAGCUUGCUAAGUUUGAUGGCGACCGGCGCACGGGUGAGUAACGCGUAUGCAACUUACCUAUCAGAGGAGAAUAGCUCAUCGAAAGAUGAAUUAAUGCUCCAUGAAGCAGGGGCCCCGCAUGGGGAUAUUUGCUAAAGAUUCAUCGCUGAUAGAUAGGCAUGCGUUCCAUUGGGCAGUUGGCGGGGUAACGGCCCACCAAACCGACGAUGGAUAGGGGUUCUGAGAGGAAGGUCCCCCACAUUGGUACUGAGACACGGACCAA
rnacentral:rRNA from 1 species